AUUGAACGCUGGCGGCAGGCUUAACACAUGCAAGUCGAGCGGUAACAGAGAGAAGCUUGCUUCUCUGCUGACGAGCGGCGGACGGGUGAGUAAUGCCUAGGAAUCUGCCUAGUAGUGGGGGAUAACUUGCCGAAAGGUAAGCUAAUACCGCAUACGUCCUACGGGAGAAAGGAGGGGACCUUCGGGCCUUUCGCUAUUAGAUGAGCCUAGGUCGGAUUAGUUAGUUGGUGAGGUAAUGGCUCACCAAGACCGCGAUCCGUAACUGGUCUGAGAGGAUGGUCAGUCACACUGGAACUGAGACACGGUCCAGACUCCUACGGGAGGCAGCAGUGGGGAAUAUUGGACAAUGGGGGGAACCCUGAUCCAGCCAUGCCGCGUGUGUGAAGAAGGUCUUAGGAUUGUAAAGCACUUUAAGUUGGGAGGAAGAGCAGUUAACUAAUAUUUGACUGUUCUGACGUUACCGACAGAAUAAGCACCGGCUAACUUCGUGCCAGCCGCCGCGGUAA
rnacentral:rRNA from 1 species